UAAAAAAUGCAAUAUUUUAGGAGGAACAGAAAUAGAUCAUGGUAGUGAAAAUGUUUGGAAGUAUGGUGUGUGAUUCUGAACCUAGUAAAUACACCUUGAAACACUGCAAAAUUUUAGUCCCUUUGAUUUCCUUACUAUGAGGCCUAUGAUUUAAAGCUGUGACAUACCAAGGGCAUAAUAGCCAAUUAAGUAAAUGGGAAGUUUCUCUCUUAGAGUUCCUGAAUCAGAAUCUUGUCAUUCAGGCUCUGAGGCUCAGCACCCUCUGCUGCUGGUGGCACAAAAUGAGCUGAUGAUAAUUGAGAAGGCUCCUUCUGACGACUCUUGUUGUUUUUGUUAGCACUACACAACCCACCUCCAGCUAUGAUGGUAAUAACACAAGUUAGUGGGUGAUGAAAGCUUUGGUUCAGUUAACAUUUAACAUAGAUGUAUUGCAUUUUACCAAAUUAAAGUAGAAAUUAGAGGGUAGCUAAUUUAAUUUGAAAUACAUUCUAUCACUCUCUCUGGAUUUUCUUUAGUAUUCUUGAAACCUGUUCACUGAUAAACACCUAUCAAAUGUUUCUUAUUUUACGCCAUGGCUCAAAUGACAUUUAGCUAGAGAAUGAAGUUCUGAAGAUUUAAAUUUUGUUGUUUUACCUCACCACUUGACAUUUAUUAACAUUUCAAAGCUCUCCAGCCUCUCAGGAUCUGCUAUCCAGUUUGAAGCUGUUUUCUGUCAGUGCUGAAUACCAGUGAUGUCAGAAGAAAGGAGAAAAACUUUUCAUCAGAAGAUAACCAAUCCAUUUUCUCAAUGAGAAGAACAAUCUGAGUACUAGAGCCAUGUGGGGCCUUCUACUGCUAGGUGGAAAACCCCCCUAACAUUUCAGUUCACCAGGCUGUAUUUUUGCUAUGUGAAAACAGUCCUUGUCUUCAAUUUCAAAGCCUAUUGUGGAGAAAGUGGAAGUCAAAGAGGAUGAUAAAGGAAAAAUAAAAAGCAAAACCCCAGCAGUGGAUGCCCAAGGAUUUUCACUGAACUGGUUGGAUUGACUAUAACCAGGAACUGAAAAUUUAAAGGUUUCUUCUCACUGAAGAAGAUCAAGACUUCAUAUUUCAAAUUCCAAAUGGAAUGACAACCUACAGUGAACUUGUUCAGCUGAAAUUUCCGGGAUCUUAGGCACUCCAAGCUACUGGAAAAACAUCCUGUUAUUAAUCCUGGAUUAAUGAAGAGAAUGGACUUAGGGCAUGAUCCAGAGCCCAUUGUAGUCAAUGGGAGACUUUUUCCAUUGACUUCAUCGGGGUUUGGAUCAGGCCUUUACUACCUAAAAUGAAUAAACUCCCAGCAAAAUCUGCUAUAAGCAAGUGGCAUCCUUUCCUGAGAUCUUAGAAGAUAUUGAAGACAAUAAUAGCCAUGCCUUCCCCAUGACUAUGGCUGUGUGUGUGGCUCACUGCUCAUGGGGAGCACCCAGUGUAGCUUAAAAGCAAAGAAAACCCUUAAAAGUCGAAGCAUUGCUGGUCACAUUCAGAAUAUCUGGUCUAGGAAGUAUGGAUUUAUGUUCCUAAAAUAAAUUGUUAAAUUACGAGAAACAAAGCUGAUACAUUUCUGAAUAUUUCUUAGUUUCUAGGGAAAAGGGAUUAUUUCGGUUUAAAACUCUCAGAAGUCUAGUAUGUGAAUUCUUGAUGUUCAGAAGUAAAAGCAAUAAUGUCAACAGAGACUUUACUUUCUGUGACCAAACCUGCAAUGAUAGUACUAACACAAAAUCAUCAAUUAGUCUAUGAAGAGUGAUGAUUUUCAAGUGUCUCUAAAGAACAACAAUAUGGUACAACAUUGAAGGCAAAUAAAGGAUAUAUUUAAAAAUAAAAAAAUAGAAGGGAUUUGCAAAGUUCUUGUUUAGUACUGGUUGUUGUGGGUUUCUUAAAAAAAACCCCAAAACUCUCCUAACUCUUGAACCUGUGUACUUUCCAAAUAAAAAGUGCUAAUUAAGUCAUGUAAAUGUCUGAAAUCCUGAAUUCCUGAUAAUACAGGCAAAGCAAUGGCUUCAGGGCUUUUGGCUUCAUAGUCUUGAUUAGUUACAUGACAUCUGACUUGGGCAUCUGCAGGAGUGUCUCUGUCUAAGAUGCCUCUAAAGAUAACACUUUUGUAGCAGAAAACUUGUCAUGUGUCUGCAGUUGUUUAAUAUUGAUCUGAUUAAUUGUGUCCCAAAAUUACCUCUAUCUCUAUAUCUGGUUAUGAAAGAAACAAAUAUGGUAACUAAAAAAUACUUUAUAUAUUUGAGCACAUAAUUUUGCUUUCUACUCCAUCCUCAUGACACAAACUGAGAACCUUAAAACACUUCAAUCAGCACCAACCAAAAUCCAGAGGUUGAACAGUGAAGUGAUUGAUACAGCCUUUGGACUUCCAGAAAUCCUUUUUGUAGCAGUAGAGAGAACUUAGACAUUGCCAAUUGUAAUUUUCAAAACUUUGAAGCAAGUGAUUUACAAAGGGAAGAAGAAAGACUUUGAAAGAUUUUUGAAAGAUGUUCUUAAAUCUGGACACCCUUGUUACAUUCUUCUCCUUUUCCUCCUGUGUGAAGGUACUAAUAUUUUCCAUUUCUUGCCAACACUCUGAAGUAAUUGCUGCCUUGUACUUGUAGAAAGUUCUGUCAAAAAGUAACAUUUUUUAACAGACCACUUUGUUCCUCAUUUCCAUGGCAUAAUGACAUGCAUAGAGAGGAAGAAAAAUUUUUUAUAUGGCACCUUUGAAAGAGUUAUUUGUAAUGCUUUAUUUUUUAUUUUUUCUUUUUUUUAAUCAAAUAAUAUCAAAUAAUAUGGGGCAGAUUGUUGGUGCUUCUGAGGCAAUUAAAUCUUUCACAGUAAUUCCAUAAGGACAGAGUUUCUUGGUUGACUGAAAGAGAACUUAAGUGGAAAUGGACCUGCUUGAAAAAUCUCUUUGGGAGAUAUAAUGAUACAGUGAAACUCCUCAAGAACUCUUGCUUUUAUAUUUAAUCUAAAUUUCUUUUCCCAUUAGAAGUUAAAUGCAUUGAUCUUGCUGGUUUACACACAUUUUGGGGAAACAUUAUAAUCAAAGCAUGUAUUGUAAUUGGGAUCAUUAUUUCACGCUAUAAUUUGUUUUCUUAUAAGAAGUUCAAUGCCUUACUAGGUGACUCUUGUCAUGGUUUGUAUCUCCCCUGAUUGAUGUGAUCCUAUUUGACCCCAUUUUUGCAGCUUGAAAUGCUGUAUAGGACAAAAAUUCUAUUUGAACACUGGUAAGAUUCACCAUUAUAUUUUCCAUUUUCCACUUAUAUUCUAUAAGUCUGAUUGAUAUGACUGUAGAUGAUAAUGCAAUUAUACUGUAAAUCUCUAUAUGUGAAUUAUAGAUACAGUUUUGAGGUUGACUUUGGGCCACUGGUUUUUGAAAUUUGCUAUUAUAUUGGCUAAUUUUUAAAUAAAUGUUAAGAUUCUUCUUUUAUAUAAUCUCUUCCAUUCAUUAUAUUAUUUUCUUGUUGCUAGUUCUUAGAUUUCAGCAAUAACACUGAUUAAAACUAUUUAUAGAUUUCCCUCUGUAAUUAAUCUGUUUUCCUAACAUUCACAAGAAUGUUUAUAAUAUGCAUCUUUAUAUUCUUGAAAAAAUUGUAUGAUAAUACUGCCAAAAUAUUUUGGAAUUGUUUUCCUUUAAGCUCUGUAAAUUAUUUCUGUCAUUUAUGUUAAUAUAUUUUAAUUCAGUAAAAAUAAGCUAACAAACUGUGAAGGGCGUAAACUAUAAACCUCUCAACAGCUUUGGCAAGCAAGAAAAGUCAUGAGAAAAUAUGAAUGGGGAUUUGGAGGAUCUGUUCUCUGAGUGAGUGAUGUUAUAAAAUAAAGACUUUAUGGAUGA